CCCAGACCGAUAGCAAACAAGCCGCCCCAGGCCGAUAGCGAACAAGUAGAGUGAUCGAAAGAUGAAAAGCGCUUUGAAAAGAAAGUUAAACAGCACGUGAAAUUGUUGAAAGGGAAGCGCUUGGGGCCAGUCUCGGCCGCGGGGUUCAGCCAGCACUCGUGCUGGUGUACUUCCCCGGGGGCGGGCCAGCGUCGGUUUGGGCGGCCGGUCAAAGGCCCCAGGAAUGUAUCAGCCUCCGGGAUUGUCUUAUAGCCUGGGGUGCAAUCGGCCAACCCGGACCUAAGAACGCGCU
rnacentral:rRNA from 1 species